rnacentral:rRNA from 1 species
GAUGAACGCUGGCGGCGUGCCUAAUACAUGCAAGUCGAGCGAACAGACGAGGAGCUUGCUCCUCUGACGUUAGCGGCGGACGGGUGAGUAACACGUGGAUAACCUACCUAUAAGACUGGGAUAACUUCGGGAAACCGGAGCUAAUACCGGAUAAUAUAUUGAACCGCAUGGUUCAAUAGUGAAAGACGGUUUUGCUGUCACUUAUAGAUGGAUCCGCGCCGCAUUAGCUAGUUGGUAAGGUAACGGCUUACCAAGGCAACGAUGCGUAGCCGACCUGAGAGGGUGAUCGGCCACACGGGAACUGAGACACGGUCCAGACUCCUACGGGAGGCAGCAGUAGGGAAUCUGCCGCAGUGGGCGAAAGCCUGACGGAGUAACGCCGCGUGAGUGAUGAAGGUCUUCGGAUCGUAAAACUCUGUUAUUAGGGAAGAACAAAUGUGUAAGUAACUAUGCACGUCUUGACGGUACCUAAUCAGAAAGCCACGGCUAACUACGUG